rnacentral:rRNA from 1 species
UGCCUACGGGGCGCAGCAGUGAGGAAUAUUGGUCAAUGGGCGGGAGCCUGAACCAGCCAAGUCGCGUGAGGGACGACGGUCCUCUGGAUUGUAAACCUCUUUUGUCGGGGAACAAAGGCGUCCACGGGUGGGCGGAUGAGUGUACCCGAAGAAAAAGCAUCGGCUAACUCCGUGCCAGCAGCCGCGGUAAUACGGAGGAUGCGAGCGUUAUCCGGAUUUAUUGGGUUUAAAGGGUGCGCAGGCGGCACGGCAAGCCGGCGGUCAAAUCGCGGAGCUCAACCCCGCCCAGCCGUCGGAACUGCCGG